CCACGACGGGAACUCCUCGCACCAGGCCUUUGACCGAGACAAAUACCCCGGGAGGGACGCGCCAAGUGACUCGCCAAGGGAGGGGAGUAAACCGGCAGGAGCAGGUCCUCGAUUGUCCACCAAGGACCGAAUUCAUCUGUGGUCAGAGCAUCAUCCGGGCCCAGCAGGGCGAUGCCUCGGAAGAUGCCUCCACGACCCACAGCCGCGAGCUCCACCCCAACCCCAGGCCACCGGGCUCGCCAAGGCCUUGGCCCAAGCGGAAUGGAGAGUGAGAGCAUGUGGCGAAGGCGAGUCCAUCCGCGGGAAAUCGAAGAGGAAGAGGAAACUUGCCAUGCUGAGAGCAAAUUCACCCCCUCACAACACUCACUGACUCACGUACCCACCAAGAUGGCAUGUUCUUUGAAGCACGCUGUCACCCUGAAAGUGACUCUCUGGGGUCACAUGCCGAUGCCAGAAGCAACUCUCCUGGGCUUGGAAGAACGUGAAAAGCUCUCAUGUGCCACAUAGCUUUGGCGUGCCUCCGACAGUACCAGAAACAUCUUUUGAGAUCCUGAGCUAUUACGCUAUCCCCUCCUUUGGAAAAAAUAGGACAAUCCAAACCCCUUGCAGGAGAUGGUAUGUCCCUAGUGGAGGAGGGACAAUCAUAAAACAUGAGAAGGGGGAGGGGCCAGAAGGAAGUGUCUAGAAUGAUGCACAGUCUUAACUACUUUUCUCCACCUAACUCACUUCGUCACUCACAAAUACACUUGGUGGCAGCUGCUGAAGUCAAAGGCGGAACUUGGGGAUGGGGACUUGAGCUGGCCCACGUGCCCGUCCAGCCGUGACAUGAUGUGGGUCACCUGGGUGCGGGGCCCAGGUAUCGGAGCUGACCAGGUAUGGAAGGAGCCCUGUCGAGGAGGCUUUGGGGUUGGAGGGAUGGAGCUGGGGCUCCAGCUAGAGAUUUAAUAGCAGUCCCUCUGCAGCCCAGGAUGUAGUCAGGAUCAGGAACACUGGUUUCACAGCCAGAAGUCUGAUCAUCUCUUUCUCCCUUUUUCAUUGAAAAAGAAAAUAUCUAAGAUACUGGAGAAUACAGUAAAAUCCUUAACUCCAUUUCCUCCUCCCACCCCCGCGCGCUCUGUCUCUCUCUCUCUCGCUCUUUUUCUUUCCUGGCGGCAAGGCUGGAUAAGCUUAUCAAGUGCAGGCAAACUACAUCGUAGCUCUGAUCCUUUCGAGAAAUCCAUUUGGCGCCUUUAACGUUUCAUUUGGCAGAUUGAAUUUCAGACAUGUAUUUAUGGGGCUGGGUUUGCCCUUAACAGAGUAUUGCAUAAAUCCCAUUACAGUAUCCACUUUAGCGUGUUUGGGGUUUUCUAAGCCAGGGCUUUAUUUAAGUGGACAGCCCCGGAAUGACCUGCUCUGGCUCAGAAACUCUCUCCUCUUCCUCCUUGCAGAUUAUCUCCAUCAUCAUCAAUGUCAAGUGAAGUUUUAGGAAAAAUCCUUUCAGCACAGCCGAGAACAAGCCCUGUUCCAGCCUUGGCGACCGGGCGUCAUCACCCUCUGGUGAAUUAGGGGGUUCCCUUCCAAGAACCACCCCACCCCACCCCACCCCACAUCCCUCUUUCUUCUGGCCAUAGCCAGGGAAGGGGUGGAAACGAUACGAAGCUGAUUUGGUAUUUCUUCAAUUUCCUACAAGAAAGGAACAUUACUUGUAAUUUCUGGAACAAAAGAAUCACAAAGAAAAGUGAGCUAGAGGGAAAAAAUGGGGAAAGAAGAGAUCUGGGUUAGGAAGCCUGAGCGAGCCGGCUCCUCUCUUUAACCCUGAGGGAGAAAAUGGAAUGAGCAGCCCCCACGACGUGCCCGCACUCGUAACUAAGAGGGAUGCUGAGACGGUGCCCGGUGCGUGGGUACCCAGGCUGCCAGACCUUGCAUCCGAUGCACAUACGCUGGUUUCCUUUCCUAGCCGGCCCUCCGGGGGGCUGGACAGGCCAUUUACCUUACAGGUGGCCAGGCAGGGACGCCGCUAAGAGGCCCCUGGAGUAGGCAGCUCAGGGGUCCAGCGUGGCAUGUGACACACGGGGGGUCCACCAGGCUGAAGCAUUACCGGGUGAGGGGCCCUUUCCAUCCUCCCAGGACCCAUGCUGGAAGCAUAGGCAGAGCUGUCCGAUCACACUGAUUUUCACAUCAGUUGGCUCAAGAGCAGAAAGGCGAGGGAGGUGGUUGGUGAUGGGACCACCUCAGAAAGCCAGGAGAAGCUAAAAGAGUGCCACCUGACCCUCUGGGACCCUCUCUUCCCCAGGCAGCACCCCCCCAUCCACGGAGCCUGGCAGCCCAGCCCCUUGUCACUUCAUUCUAUCACACAAGCAAGCUUUACGAAAAUGCAACGGCAGCUGCAGUAAAUGAAGAAAUACCCAUGACGAGGGGCCCAGGGGCUAUUUCAGGCUGCCUCUGUCGGAUGGCAGCUGCGCCUUUGGUUACAUCUAAGUUUGGCCUCAGAGCCUGUGCAGGUAAACUGUUCCUGAUGAGGAAAAAGAAAAUGUCGGGAACUGUCAUGGACCCAUUCCAAAAAAUAUUUGCCAAGUUCCUGCCUUACUUACACCAGGCUCUAGGCGAGGGGCUGAUGUUCAGGCAGGAGCCGCACAGAGCACGCCCGCCCGCCAGAGAUGAUGGUCUGGGGAGGGACACGCAGACAGCAGAUGUGGGGCCAGGGGAGAGAGUUGGUGGCCAACAACCAAUGGCACAGCCGAGACAGCAUGGCUUCUCCAGAUAAGACCAACAGGUGGCCAGAGGGAAUCCAGAGUACCAAACACCCAGCACCCUCUCUCCAGGGCUUCAUCUUCUCAAAUCUCUCAUCUGCUUCUUUUUCUUCCUGUCUCACUUGCCUGUGAGUGGCUGGGGACAGAAGCUGCGCAUGAUGCUUAGGUACCAAAGCAAGCAUGAAACAUAGGACUUCAUUUACGGCCAACUAAAGGUGGGCAGGUACUAUUAAUAUCUUCAUCUUAGAGCCGAGGCAAUCAGGGCUCAGAGAGGUGAAGGGACUUGCCCAAGGUCACACAGACAGGAGGAGGAGGAGGGAUCUGAACCACAGCUGCCUGGCUCCAGGGUCCCUGCUGGCAACCACAAUGCCCUUUGGCCUUUCAGAAAGUUCACCGUGGCUCUGACAUUGGUAUCACCAGCCUAGAGACAUGGCAGCUGGCACAUACUAGGGGCUCAGCCAAGGCCUGCUCAACUGCAUUUGAUCAUCUUAUUUAAAGCUACUGCAAUCACUCCCAGCUUUUAAGCUAUGGGCUGGGAACAAGGUCAUUCUAUAAAAAUGGAAAGCAGAAAGGUACCCUGAGGAAUUUGUUGGAGUUAGAGGUAGGAAUCCAGAAAGGCAUCUAUUCAAAUGACAACAGAACUAAGGCAUGGCCUCAAUAUACUAUGAUUAAAUGAGAUGUGCUGAAGAAUUACGUAACAGCUCAGAAGCACAAUUUAAGUCUCCACUGGCGCUUGCCUCUUUGUAAAAUUAGCAUUUCUGUUAAGCUCAUAAUAUAGGAGCAUGGGGUUUUAUAUAACUGCUCAGGUCACACGGGGAAAUGAAGACAUACUCCCUUCUCUUUCUAACGCUUGUGCUUCC
rnacentral:lncRNA from 1 species